rnacentral:rRNA from 1 species
CAGUCGCCACGGUAAUACGAAGGGGGCUAGCGUUGUUCGGAAUUACUGGGCGUAAAGCGCACGUAGGCGGACUUUUAAGUCAGGGGUGAAAUCCCGGGGCUCAACCUCGGAACUGCCUUUGAUACUGGAAGUCUUGAGUGUGGAAGAGGUAAGUGGAAUUGCGAGUGUAGAGGUGAAAUUCGUAGAUAUUCGGAAGAACACCAGUGGCGAAGGCGACACACUGGCUCACUACUGACGCUGAGGCGCGAAAGCGUGGGGAGCAAACAGGAUUAGAUACCCGUGUAGUCCCUGUCUCUUAUAC